rnacentral:lncRNA from 1 species
CACCUUACUGCCAUAUCAAUAGCCACUUGUCCAUUUGCUCAAAGGGGAUGUUAUAAACCCGAAUCCAAAAAGGAACGAAACUAAAAUUGUACUUACUCAAAGUUUGACCUUUUACAUACGACAACAUAGCAAACAAGCACUGAUCAAACAACCACGGGGCUAAAUUGAAAAUUCUCGUUCUAUCUUCCACAAUUCCGAAUUUAACAAAAAAUAACCCCUCAACCAUAGCCACAAAACUCACCGAUUCCUUGGUGAACCAUAAGGAUUUCAAAACCCGAUACAUAGCUUCCCUGUUGAUUUUCUCCUUAGUAAUCAAUGUACCUACAGCCUAUGCUUCAAAACCUUGCAUAUUCGGACUUGACCUGUUUUUGCAAACCACCUGCUUGGACUCAGCUUCAGAGAAGGUCAGCCUAGCCAAUAAAGCAUUUAAGUCUUCUUCCAUAAUGAAGCCCCACCAACAGACCGCACCUCAACCCAUGACGAAAACAACACCCAGGACACAGACCAACCAAUAAGGGAACACCACACAACUCAACAAAAACACCACAAAACCCAGCGAAACAGAACAAGAAUGAGCUACUGGAAUCGGAUCCCCAAGAAAAAACGAGCACCGAAGUAAACUGCCGCCACCCUCAACCAAAAUCACCGACCACCCAACAAACAGCUUUUAACAAAAACAAAACGUACAAAACAGUAACCAAUACUCAAACGCAGCAUAACAAGAUAAAAAUGAUCCACCUCAAGACCAACAAAAACACUCGUAAAGGGUGAAUAAAUCAGCACCUAUCAGGACGAAAGAUCAAACCAACAAAAACUAAGAAACAAACCAAAACAAAGCAGUUUAAACGCAAAUUAAAAAUAAGGCAACAGUCUAUAGAAAGACUCAAUAGAACAUUAUCAUGAUCUCAAAAGCGAUGAUCAAGAUGAUCCCUAAACAGAAAAAAACCACAAAACAGUAUGAAGAAAAUCCAGAAAGCGCAGAAAAAACACUUAUAGGGAAAAAAGAAAGAAAAACCACAUCAAAACUUUAAACAGUCCCUUUAAGUACAUGAAAACAUUGAAAAGAGAUGAGGAAGUUACAGGGAAACAAAUUAAAAUAAAGAAAACAACACGUGAAAACAAUAAAAGAAACAAGAGGUAAAAACCACCGAAACCGAAGACUGUCGUAACACCGAUCAAGAAACGCUAGAGCUCGUUGAAGGCAGUCCUGAACUGCGCACCUAGAAGGGCCAAGAACGCCACCGCCUCCCGAUCAAAGGAUCAACACCUCUCCAAAAAACAGCGUCACAAAGUGCUCCCCAUCUUUGAAACCCGCCACCGGCUACAACCCCUCAAACCAACAAGGCACCCGAAGAAGAAAUAGACGAGAACGAGCUACACUCUAAAGCAACAAAGCUCUCACAGAACAAAGAUGACCGAACAACCAAAAAGAAGAUGAAGCUUAAUCGCUUAAUAGUUACAACUCCCAAGAAACGAACAUGGCUUGACACCUUUCACCACCAAAUAGCCAAUAACGCCACCACCACAAUCAUUUCCUUCAUAAUACGUCACCACUACGAAACCAAAUAACGACGAAAAAGCAAUAACUACCACCGUCCAAGUAUUCGUUAAAGAGGAACAUAGAUAGACACACGCAAAGCCACCACCCAGUAGAGCCACAAAAGCACGAAGGUGGAAAAACAAGAACACAAAUCACCCGAAUCUUUAGAGAGAAAAUUCCAAAUUCCCGCUACCAGCCCUCCGAUACUUUAUAUCCUUUUAGAUGAAGAAGAUAAGGGUUUUUUGUUAAAAUUAUU